rnacentral:rRNA from 1 species
AGCAGUGGGGAAUUUUGGACAAUGGGGGCAACCCUGAUCCAGCAAUGCCGCGUGAGUGAAGAAGGCCUUCGGGUUGUAAAGCUCUUUUGUCAGGGAAGAAACGGUUCGGGCUAAUAUCCUGGGCUAAUGACGGUACCUGAAGAAUAAGCACCGGCUAACUACGUGCCAGCAGCCGCGGUAAUACGUAGGGUGCAAGCGUUAAUCGGAAUUACUGGGCGUAAAGCGUGCGCAGGCGGUUGUGCAAGACAGAUGUGAAAUCCCCGGGCUUAACCUGGGAAUUGCAUUUGUGACUGCACGGCUAGAGUGUGUCAGAGGGGGGUAGAAUUCCACGUGUAGCAGUGAAAUGCGUAGAGAUGUGGAGGAAUACCGAUGGCGAAAGCAGCCCCCUGGGAUAACACUGACGCUCAUG